GUGAUUGCUUUAGCAGCACAUAUAUUAAAAUUGGAACAAUACACACAGGGUUACCUUGCCCCUGUGCAAGGUGAAAUGGAAAUUUGUGAAACAUUCCACAUUUUU
rnacentral:snRNA from 1 species